CAGUAGCCGCGGUAAUACGUAGGGUGCGAGCGUUAAUCGGAAUUACUGGGCGUAAAGCGCACGUAGGCGGCUUUGUAAGUUAGAGGUGAAAGCCUGGAGCUCAACUCCAGAAUUGCCUUUAAGACUGCAUCGCUUGAAUCCAGGAGAGGUGAGUGGAAUUCCGAGUGUAGAGGUGAAAUUCGUAGAUAUUCGGAAGAACACCAGUGGCGAAGGCGGCUCACUGGACUGGUAUUGACGCUGAGGUGCGAAAGCGUGGGGAGCAAACAGGAUUAGAUACCCCUGUAGUCCCUGUCUCUUAUAC
rnacentral:rRNA from 1 species